rnacentral:tmRNA from 1 species
GGGGCUGAACGGUUUCGACAGCGAGUCUCGACUUAAGGGAAGCGUGCCGGUGCAGGCAAGAGACCACCGUAAGCGUCAUUGCAACCAAUUAAGCGCCGAUUCUCAUCAGCGCGACUACGCACUCGCUGCCUAGCGACUGCGUGUCUGUCAGACCGGGACCUCCCGCGGCCCGGACCCUGGCAUCAGCUAGCGGGAUCAACCGGUGGCUUCGGCCGCGGAGGCCACCGGGACAUCAAACAGCGGCUGGGAUCGUCAUCUCGGCUUGUUCGCGGGACCGAGAGAUCCAAGUAGAGGCAUAGCGAACUGCGCACGGAGAAGCCUUAAUGAAGGGCCGUUGGACCCGGGUUCAAUUCCCGGCAGCUCCAC